CUUUCCCCAUCCUAUUUCAGUUUCAACUGUCUCAUAUUCUUGCCAUCUAUUUUUUCUUUGAAUAGGGAUGGAGUGAGUGAAUCACAAUUCACACAGGUCCUAAACAUCGAGCUAGAUCAGAUUAUGGAGGCCUGUAAAUUCCUUUAUGAGAACUGGUCACCAAAGUUUACAGUUAUUGUGGCUUAAAAAAAAAACACCACACUAAAUUCUUCCAGCUUCAAUCUUCGGACAAUGUUCCACAUGGCACUGUUGUGGACAAAGCAAUUUGCCAUCCACAAAACCAUGACUUCUACAUGUGCUCACACGCAGGAAUGAUUGGAACAACGCGCCCUACUCACUACCAUGUUUUGUUGGAUGAGAUUGGCUUCUCCCUUGAUGAUCUCCAGGAGCUUGUGCAUUCAUUGUCCUAUGUGUGUUAGAGGAGCACAACUGCGAUAUCAAUCGUAGCACAAAUAAGUUACGCACAUUUGGCAGCAACGCAGAUGUCACAGUUCAUGAAGUUUGAGGAUAUGUCAGAGACGUCAUCUGGCCAUGAUGGAAUUACAUCUGCGGGAGAUAUUCCAGUGUUGGAGCUGCCAAAGCUUCAUGAAAACAUGAGCAGCUAUUCCAGUGUUUUUCUGAUGAAGUAGCUGGGACAUCAAAGGUAAGAUUUUGAUGUCAUGGCAUAGCACUAAAUUAGACAAGGUUCUAUCUCAUUUAGUUGUUGAGAGCAUCUUAACCUGAGAU